UACAGAGGUCUCAAGCGUUGUUCGGAAUCACUGGGCGUAAAGCGCACGUAGGCGGCUUUCUAAGUCAGGGGUGAAAUCCUGGAGCUCAACUCCAGAACUGCCUUUGAUACUGGAGAGCUCGAGUCCGGGAGAGGUGAGUGGAACUCCGAGUGUAGAGGUGAAAUUCGUAGAUAUUCGGAAGAACACCAGUGGCGAAGGCGGCUCACUGGCCCGGUACUGACGCUGAUGUGCGAAAGCGUGGGGAGCAAACAGG
rnacentral:rRNA from 1 species